rnacentral:rRNA from 1 species
CAGUAGCCGCGGGAAUACAGAGGGUGCGAGCGUUAAUCGGAUUUACUGGGCGUAAAGCGUGCGUAGGCGGCUUUUUAAGUCGGAUGUGAAAUCCCUGAGCUUAACUUAGGAAUUGCAUUCGAUACUGGGAAGCUAGAAUAUGGGAGAGGAUGGUAGAAUUCCAGGUGUAGCGGUGAAAUGCGUAGAGAUCUGGAGGAAUACCGAUGGCGAAGGCAGCCAUCUGGCCUAAUACUGACGCUGAGGUACGAAAGCAUGGGGAGCAAACAGGAUUAGAUACCCCCGUAGUCCCUGUCUCUUAUAC